AGGUGACACAGAAGGUGGCCUGAGGUGAGGGAAGGUGACACAGAAGGUGGCCUGAGGUGGGGGAAGGUGACACAGAAGGUGGCCUGAGGUGGGGGAAGGUGACACAGAAGGUGGCCUGAGGUGGGGGAAGGUGAUACAGAAGGUGGCCUGAGGUGGGGGAAGGUGACACAGAAGGUGGCCUGAGGUGAGGGAAGGUGACACAGAAGGUGGCCUGAGGUGGGGGAAGGUGACACAGAAGGUGGCCUGAGGUGAGGGAAGGUGACACACAAGGUGGCCCGUAGUCACAGGAAUGCAAAGCCAAACUUUAUGAUACAA